CGCAGUUCAACUACUUAAUCUUUGGUAUUAUCCAGAACAGACCCAUUUGUAUUAAUUCAGAAUCGGCACCAAAUAUGUAAAUAGGGGGUUUCUUUCAAAACGAAAAUGUAUAUAUCUAUGCAUCUGGAUCUGGCCGCCCCUUGCAGCACGCAAGGGUUAAGAUUGCACAAGGGAAGAGUUCUUGCGCCAUCUACUGGCCAUCUUUGAGCCGCCCGUUCCUACUUCGCAUGUAUGAGACCCUGUUUUUCUCAACCCUUGGUGUAGGGGAGCUGUGUGUCCCCAAGACCAGCAUGUCGUGCUCCUUGAUUUUUGUCAGUCCUGACUCAAAUCUUUCAACGAACAAGUUCCUUAGGUCAGGCGACUGACUGGUGAACUGACCUUUUGGGAAUCUGGUCCCCUUUCAGGAGUGAGGAGUGCCACAGCGCUAGUUCUGGGACAGGUUAUUGCUGCUGCGUGGAGCUCCAUUUGCCUGCCUCAGGAGAUCAGGGGCGUGAGCGCCUAUCUGCAAGGCUUAGUCUAGAGGACUGCCCAACUUGAGUUUGCAGCUCCCUGCACUGUGCACAGGCAGUGGGUUUGGUCCCGUGCACCACACCAUUACCCCAGCCAGCUUUUGUCCCUUGGCUCGCAUUGGAGCUGCCCGCUCAGUAGGGCAAGGAGGUAGCAUCUGGAGGGGGUUCUGCUCCUGGAAGUGGGCACGCUGUGAGCGUCCAUAGGUCUGCGUGGCGAGUGAGUUUAAUCUGCAGGCGUAGGAAGGAUUCCGAGCUCUCGGGAGGCUUGCUUCUCUUCUUCUGCCAUUGGACAUCGGACUCCAGGUUCUUUAGCUGUUGGACCCUGAGACUUGCACCAGCAGCCUCCCAGGGGAUCUUGGGCCUUUGGACUAAGACUGACGGCUGCAUUCUUGGCUUCCUUGGUUUUGAGGCUUUUAAACUUGGACUUAGCCAUGCUUCUAGCUUCUCUUUUUCCAGCUUACAGAUGGUCUAUUAUGGGACUUCACCUUGUAAUCUUGUGAACAAAUUCUCCCUGAUAAACUCCCUUUUAUAUAUACAUAUGUCCUAUUGGUUCUGUACCUCUGGAGAGCCCUAAUACAAUAAGAUAUAUAUGCUCUAGCUUCUAAUCUCACAAGUUUGUACCCAGGUAAAUCUAGUGAUAAGGGAGGUAGCCAGGUGGUCCAGAGUAUCAUGGCAUAAGUGCUUGUGUACAGGAAGAAGAAAAAUCCCUCAGUCCUGACUCUACUGUGCAAAUCUCAUUCCCUGCCAUCACUACUUCCUACCACUCUAACUGGGGAAGUAUGCUCUUCUUUCUUUAAUAUUUUAUCUUCUUAAACCAUUUCUUGUAAGGUUCAUAAAAUAUUUUUUGUCAUGAUGCAUGUUCAGAAAUCCAGACACUCUUUUGAAGAAAAACGAAUACAAUGCUUCAUGGUUUAUUCAUUAAAAAUCACUUUUAAAAUGGUUUUUAUUUGACAAAGAGUAAUUGUAUGUAUUAAGGGGUACAGCAUGAGGUUCCAAUACAAGUAUACAUUUAGAAUAAUCAAUUUGGGCUAACUAAAAUAUCAAUCACUUCACAUACUUACUAUGUCUUUGUGGUGAGACCAUUUAAAAUCCAAUCUCUCAGCAAUUUUGAAAGGUACAAUACAUUUUUAUUAGUUAUGCUGUGCAAUCAUUCACCAGAACUUACCUUCCAGUCUCACUGAAACUUUAUACCCUUUUCUCUACAUCUCUCCUUUUUUAUCCAGCCCCCCAAUUACUCCCUGUUUCCACCAGGCUAUAGUAAUCAUCAUUCUAGUCUUUAUUUGUACGAGUUCAACUUUUGUUUAGAUUCCACAUAGAUGUGAGAUCAUACAGUGUCUUUCUGUGCUUGGCUUAUUUCAUUUAUCAUGAUGUCCUGUAGAUUCAUCCAUGUUGUUGCCAAGGGUAGCAUUUCCUUCUUUUUAAAGGAUGAACAGUAUCCAUAUAUAUACACAUAUGCAUCACACAUUUUUAAAUCAUAAUGUGUUGAUGAGGAUUUUGUUUCCAUAUGCUGAUUGUUGUGAAUAAUGCUACAAUAAACAUGGGAUUGCACAUUCAUGUACUUUUUGUGUAUGUGUGUCUCUAUAUUAAAUGAAUACAAAUUGAUUUACUAGUAUUAAAUUUGUGGUCAUUUAGGUGAUUAUAUUUUUGUUAAUUCAUACUUUUCUGGCAGAUGAUCACUUCUCAUUUAGUCAAGCUAUUUGCUGGCAGAUCUACCUGGAGCAGUUUGUCUCUCACCUUCUUAUUUGUUUAUUUGAAUUAUGUAAAUUCCUGGAAUCCUCACAACUAAAUUCUAUAUUACUGACUCAAUGUAAUAAGCAAUAGAGUUUGAGAGAGGAAGUGAGAACCAUGACUGUGAAUAAAGUAUGUAAGUUUCAGCAUGUACAACCAGGAAUAUUUAUUUAUUUACUCAAAGCCCUUUUAGGCUCACUUCCUAGUUCCUAUGUCUGUAUUCUCUAUAAAUAGACAUUGUUAGAUCACUGAAUUUAAAAAUAAUGAGUUAAUGUAUGACCGUAUGUUAGUUACUUAUACUAAAUCUGUUAGAUGAUCAAGACAGGAAUUAUCUUCAGGAAGAUUAGGCUGCUUGCCAAAGUUCACUAAACAAUUUUAUUGAAUACCUAAAACAAGUUUAAUUGUUGCCCUGCCCUUCACCUCUACAGUGUCUGUCUGUUUUGCUGUUUGCACUUGCAACCUUCUUGUAGGGAUCAUCUUGGGGCAUCUCUGGAAAACCUGAAGUGCCUGGGAGAUUUUGUCCCACCUUCUGCAGGUGACCAAUUGCCAAUGCUUUGCUGGUAUGGAAGUAUAAAAGCUCAGCCCCUUUUUCUGAAGAGGGAGAAACUCUGAUGUAUAAUUUAUAUUACAGUCUUUCUCAAAAGAUUAGGCUGGAUCUGAGACUUCACCCAAAAUGUCACCUUUGCUUAGCUUCUUUCAUUUCCUUGCUGUAUCAUACCAACCCAUAUUGCUGCCUGAGGCAAAAAGAGAAUUGUGUAUUUAUUUGUAUACUUGUCAAAAUAGUGUCUGAUAUUUUAACCCAGGUGAUAGUUAAUAUAAGCU
ensembl:lncRNA